AUUGAACGCUGGCGGCAGGCUUAACACAUGCAAGUCGAACGAGUGGCGGACGGGUGAGUAAUGUUUGGGAAUCUGGCUUAUGGAGGGGGAUAACGACGGGAAACUGUCGCUAAUACCGCGUACCAUAGGAUGAGCCCAAGUGGGAUUAGGUAGUUGGUGGGGUAAUGGCCGACCAAGCCGACGAUCCCUAGCUGGUCUGACAGGAUGACACGCCACACCGGGACGGAGACACGGCCCGUACUCCUACGGGGGGCAGCAGUGGGGAAUAUUGGGCAAUGGGGGCAACCUGACGCAGCCAUGCCGCGUGAAUGAAGAAGGCCUUCGGGUUGUAAAGUUCUGUGGGUGACGAGGCGGUAAUCGCAGAAGAAGCACCGGCUAACUCCGUGCCAGCAGCCGCGGUAAUUC
rnacentral:rRNA from 1 species